CUACUCUUGACAUCCAGAGAACUUUCCAGAGAUGGAUUGGUGCCUUCGGGAACUCUGAGACAGGUGCUGCAUGGCUGUCGUCAGCUCGUGUUGUGAAAUGUUGGGUUAAGUCCCGCAACGAGCGCAACCCUUAUCCUUUGUUGCCAGCGAUUCGGUCGGGAACUCAAAGGAAACUGCCGGUGAUAAACCGGAGGAAGGUGGGGAUGACGUCAAGUCAUCAUGGCCCUUACGAGUAGGGCUACACACGAGCUACAAUGGCGUAUACAAAGAGAAGCGAACUCGCGAGAGCAAGCGGACCUCAUAAAGUACGUCGUAGUCCGGAUUGGAGUCUGCAACUCGACUCCAUGAAGUCGGAAUCGCUAGUAAUCGUAGAUCAGAAUGCUACGGUGAAUA
rnacentral:rRNA from 1 species